UUUAUCGCUAUUAGAUGAGCCUAUGUUAGAUUAGCUAGUUGGUGGAGUAAUAGCCUACCAAGGCAAUGAUCUAUAGCUGAUCUGAGAGGAUGAUCAGCCACACUGGAACUGAGAUACGGUCCAGACUCCUACGGGAGGCAGCAGUGGGGAAUAUUGGACAAUGGGCGAAAGCCUGAUCCAGCCAUGCCGCAUGAGUGAAGAAGGCCUUUGGGUUGUAAAGCUCUUUUAGUGAGGAAGAUAAUGACGGUACUCACAGAAGAAGUCCCGGCUAACUCCGUGCCAGCAGCCGCGGUAAUACGGAGAGGGCUAGCGUUAUUCGGAAUUAUUGGGCGUAAAGGGCGCGUAGGCGGAUUAGUAAGUUAAAAGUAAAAUCCCAAGGCUCAACCUUGGAAUUGCUUUCAAAACUGCUAAUCUAGAGAUUGAAAGAGGAUAGCGGAAUUCCUAGUGUAGAG
rnacentral:rRNA from 1 species